rnacentral:rRNA from 1 species
UACGAAGGGAGCUAGCGUUGUUCGGAAUUACUGGGCGUAAAGGGCGCGUAGGCGGGUUUCCAAGUCGGGGGUGAAAUUCCAGGGCUCAACCCUGGGACGGCCUUCGAUACUGGGAGCCCGGAGAUCGGGAGAGGUGAGUGGAACUCCGAGUGUAGAGGUGAAAUUCGUAGAUAUUCGGAAGAACACCAGUGGCGAAGGCGACACACUGGCCCGUAACUGACGCUGAGGCGCGAAAGCGUGGGGAGCAAACGGG